rnacentral:rRNA from 1 species
UACGGAGGGUGCAAGCGUUAUCCUGAUUCACUGGGUUUAAAGGGUGCGUAGGUGGGCAAGUAAGUCAGUGGUGAAAUCUCCGGGCUUAACCCGGAAACUGCCAUUGAUACUAUUUGUCUUGAAUACUGUGGAGGUCAGCGGAAUAUGUCAUGUAGCGGUGAAAUGCUUAGAUAUGACAUAGAACACCAAUUGCGAAGGCAGCUGGCUACACAAAUAUUGACACUGAGGCACGAAAUCGUGGGGAUCAAACAGG